CGGGGUGUAGUAUAACGGUAGUAUACAGGGUUCGGGACUCUGCGGCCUGGGUUCAACUCCCAGCACCCCGA
rfam:Parcubacteria bacterium DG_74_1, whole genome shotgun sequence.